rnacentral:rRNA from 1 species
AUUGAACGCUGGCGGAAUGCUUUACACAUGCAAGUCGAGCGGCAGCACGGGGGCAACCCUGGUGGCGAGCGGCGAACGGGUGAGUAAUACAUCGGAACAUGCCCAGUCGUGGGGGAUAACACUUCGAAAGAAGUGCUAAUACCGCAUACGUCCUGAGGGGGAAAGCGGGGGAUCGCAAGACCUCGCGCGAUUGGAGUGGCCGAUGUCAGAUUAGCUAGUUGGUGGGGUAAAGGCCUACCAAGGCAACGAUCUGUAGCUGGUCUGAGAGGAUGAUCAGCCACACUGGGACUGAGACACGGCCCAGACUCCUACGGGAGGCAGCAGUGGGGAAUUUUGGACAAUGGGGGCAACCCUGAUCCAGCCAUUCCGCGUGAGUGAAGAAGGCCUUCGGGUUGUAAAGCUCUUCCGGCAGGAACGAAACGGUGAGCUCUAACAUAGCUUGCUAAUGACGGUACCUGAAGAAGAAGCACCGGCUAACUACGUG